UACGGAGGGAGCUAGCGUUGUUCGGAAUUACUGGGCGUAAAGCGCACGUAGGCGGCUUUGUAAGUUAGAGGUGAAAGCCCGGGGCUCAACCCCGGAAUUGCCUUUAAGACUGCAUCGCUUGAAUCCAGGAGAGGUGAGUGGAAUUCCGAGUGUAGAGGUGAAAUUCGUAGAUAUUCGGAAGAACACCAGUGGCGAAGGCGGCUCACUGGACUGGUAUUGACGCUGAGGUGCGAAAGCGUGGGGAGCAAACAGG
rnacentral:rRNA from 1 species